UACGAAGGGGGCUAGCGUUGCUCGGAAUGACUGGGCGUAAAGGGCGCGUAGGCGGCUCAUCCAGUCAGGCGUGAAAUUCCCGGGCUCAACCUGGGGGCUGCGCUUGAGACGUGCGAUCUUGAGUGGGGAAGAGGGUCGUGGAAUUCCCAGUGUAGAGGUGAAAUUCGUAGAUAUUGGGAAGAACACCGGUGGCGAAGGCGGCGACCUGGUCCUUGACUGACGCUGAGGCGCGAAAGCGUGGGGAGCAAACAGG
rnacentral:rRNA from 1 species